rnacentral:lncRNA from 1 species
UAGAUAUCUCUGCUUCCUCCCAUCCUCAACCUUGCUUCUUUAAUCCGAAGCCUUUACCCAUCAUCGAUAAACUUUAUCUCUUUCUCUUCUCUGGAGUUCUAUCUAGUUCUCUCUUUUUUAUUUCUUUGGUCCUCUCUUUCUCUCAAAUAUCUUCCUAUCCAAAGCUUAAUCACCACCUUCUCUUUCAAUUUUUUUGGUCAGUUUGUCCUAAAAGCCCACCAAAACCUAUAGAUCCAUACAUGCAAAUCUCUCUUCUAUUAAUCUCCCAUCAUCUAUCACAGUGUUUUUUUUUAGUUGUUUUAUUUUGUUUUCUAAAUUUCAUUACUAGGUUUUAAGUUUUUUUUUUUUUUGGCAGAGUGUUUUUGGUAAUUCAAAUACCAAAAUAGAAGUGAAUAUAUAAUUGGAAAACAACUUUUUUCCUUGUUUGAUUGUAUUUAUGAUUGGGUGGCGAUAUUUGGGUUUUUUUACUAUAAUCAAUCUAUGCUUAUGCAUGCUAAUCCCAUCCGUCUGGUAUGGGAUAAAUUGAAAUAUAUGAAGAAUAGCCAAAAAAAAAAUAAAGAAGAAAACAAAGUAGAACGAGAGAGAGAGAAAGGAAUCUUUUCUGAUUUUUUAAUUGAUGACUCCAAACGUGUAUGUCCCUUUACCCCUGCUGUUAUAUGGGAAGAGGAAGAUUGCCACGUGGAACAAGAAAAAAAGAAAAAUGGUUACAGAGUGAAACGAUCAAAAUUGUGUUUUUAAAUGAUUUUACAUUUUGUAAAUCAAUAAUUUGAAUCAAUAAUUUGAAUCUUAUAUUCUAUCUAAAUGAACCAAACAAGGAAAUUACUCAUCUUACGUUCCC